rnacentral:rRNA from 1 species
UACGAAGGGGGCUAGCGUUGUUCGGAAUUACUGGGCGUAAAGCGCACGUAGGCGGGUUGUUAAGUCAGGGGUGAAAUCCCGGAGCUCAACUCCGGAACUGCCUUUGAUACUGGCAAUCUAGAGACUGGAAGAGGUUAGUGGAAUUCCCAGUGUAGAGGUGAAAUUCGUAGAUAUUGGGAAGAACACCAGUGGCGAAGGCGGCUAACUGGUCCAGUACUGACGCUGAGGUGCGAAAGCGUGGGGAUCAAACAGG